UGAGGAAUAUUGCACAAUGGGCGAAAGCCUGAUGCAGCAACGCCGCGUGAGUGAUGAAGGCCUUCGGGUUGUAAAGCUCUGUCUUCUGGGACGAUAAUGACGGUACCAGAGGAGGAAGCCACGGCUAACUACGUGCCAGCAGCCGCGGUAAUACGUAGGUGGCAAGCGUUGUCCGGAUUUACUGGGCGUAAAGGAUGCGUAGGCGGAUACUUAAGUCAGAUGUGAAAAUCCCGGGCUUAACUUGGGAACUGCAUUUGAAACUGGGGAUCUAGAGUGCGGGAGAGGAAAGUGGAAUUCCUAGUGUAGCGGUGAAAUGCGUAGAGAUUAGGAAGAACACCAGUGGCGAAGGCGACUUUCUGGACCGUAACUGACGCUGAGGCAUGAAAGCGUGGGGAGCAAACA
rnacentral:rRNA from 1 species